rnacentral:rRNA from 1 species
AUUGAACGCUGGCGGCAGGCCUAACACAUGCAAGUCGAGCGGAUGACAGGAGCUUGCUCCUGAAUUCAGCGGCGGACGGGUGAGAAAUGCCUAGGAAUCUGCCUGGUAGUGGGGGACAACGUCUCGAAAGGGACGCUAAUACCGCAUACGUCCUACGGGAGAAAGUGGGGGAUCUUCGGACCUCACGCUAUCAGAUGAGC